CCUAUGUGAGAUGACUUGUGAACUUGGAAACUGUUUCUUCUGAAUCCUAAUGUGCAGUGGCUGGCUGAUUAUUCAAGUUACAGGUAGAUUAUUCAAGGUUUAACAAAAGGCAUUCUGUAUGCACUCUAACUGCCCUGACAUCUUAUGAUGAAGGGCAACACAUAAGUCUAACAAAUAAGAUAAAAUAAAUAAAUAAAU